AACUCAUGGUUAUAACGAGUGAUUUUAAAAGCUUUUUUGCAACCCUUUAUUUUAAUCCUUUGAAACAAAACUUAGGUAUAAAAUGAUUAAUUUUAAAACUUUUUGCAGAUAUUUAUCAUCUCAAACAAUCUUGCCCAGUCAGGAUGAAAAUAUUGAUAUGGCUAUAGAGGAGCCUUCUUUCUUCUAUUUUCUUACGAAAAAAAUGCUAAUUUUUGCAAUCGGAGGUUAGAGAUAUCUUAUAUGCCUACAUAUAACGUGUCAUAAGACUUUUGUAUGUCAUGUCUUACGUAUGUUUUCUGGAUUUUAUCAAUUUUAUGCAAAAAAUUAUGUUUUAGAGAUUAACUUUUUAACCCUGAAUUUGUGUUGUGUUAGUAGAAAAUUAUUUUUCUGAGCUACCCUGUGAUUCAUUUGCGGGAAGAAUUAUUCAUUCCUCAGUGAAAAAUCUGCGAUUCCCAGAAAUUAUUUGGGUCAAUUUUUGUGAAUUACGGGAAUUCGCAGAGUAAUUUUUUUUUUAAUUUUUUAUAAUAGCUUUUGCUACUUUCAUUUUUUUUUUUCAAAUCUUUUAUUUGCACUUUGAAAGAUUUUUUUUCUUUUCCGCGUUUUCUUUUUUUUUUAUUAGAAGAGAGAUGGGUUUUGUAUUUUAUUCCGAAUCUUUAUAAUUUUGCGGAAUUCUUUUAAAUUAAAUUUUUGCUGAAUUUAGAACCUUUCUAGGGAUGAACGGGAAACAUUUAGCGACAGUUUUUUCCCUAUAACCUCUAGCCGCGAAAGUGCGGAACAAUUUAAUAAAAUUUAAAAAUUACUAAGAGCCUUUUUGGGGACGAAUGGAAAGCAUUCUGUGGCAAAUGUUUUCCCCCCAAAACCUCUAGUUUUUCUUGCAUAACCAGAAUGAAUGAAAAGGUCAAAACGAAUGUUAUCGACAGGCCUUUUCCCUGGGAAAUGCAUCAGAAAUUAAUAAUAUUUUACAAUUUUCUUUCUUUUUUUUUAUUAUAAUUUUUUCCUUAAUUAUUGGUGAUAUUUUCUGACAUUUUGUGCUCGUAUGUGUGGUUUAAUUCAGCCCCUUCACUCACACCUUAUCUACCCUUUAAGCCUUUUAAGCGCUGCCAAUUUACGUUCAUUUUCUUUCUUAUUAAAUUUUAAUUUAUUUCAAAUCACAAUUUAUUUUCUUUAUUUUUUUUUCCUCAAUAUCUUCCUGAUUCUUGAUCUUGCCUUUUAUGUAAUUGAUCGUUCAGGUACUAUCGCUUUAAUUUAUUUUUGCAAGGAUAUCUGAUAGGAAGAGUUUUGCAUUCUCUUUCAAUUCCAUCUGCUUAAUGGUAGUUACUGAUAUCCUUGGUAAGCUUUUCUUUGUAUAGCACGAGACCUCUCGCGUCCAUUGCGACUUUAUUAUGGUUCUUUAGCAACCCCCCCCCCCCCCCCGCGGGAAGAUCAGCUUUGUCUGAUUUUUCGGUGAAAAUUCUUUUCUUUAUAAAGAUUUUCCGGGAAAUUAUCGGGAUUCGUCCUGAAGUUUCACUGUGGUUCUUGGAACGAGAUGUUGACUGUGUUCCCUCCUUCCAGAUCCAACCGAAUACCCUUGAGAUGGUGGACCUUGUUGUCUCUUUUCUCAUUCUUCAGGUGUGGAUUUUCCGCCCAAGUUUUGGCUCGUGUGGAACUCAAUGUCUUUUCCAAGAGUUUAAUUUUGUUAACUCUUUCCUUUCUAGAUUCCUCUGCCAUAUUAUCCUGCAACUUUAUUUUUGUAUUUUAAUUUCUUCUUCAUAAGCAGUUAGUUCGAUUAUGUUGGGCGCCAUAAAUAUAUACCAACCCUCCCAUUGAAAGACAGGGUGGUUAUAUUUAAAAUGAUUUUGUGGUGUUUUAUUUUAUAAUUAAUUUUUGUUCGUGAAAUAUUAAAAGAAAAUUUGAAACUAAAAUUAUAAGUGACCCAUGAAAUAUUGAACAUUGUUUUUUCACCUUUGAAACGAAUCGAUUCUUCUAAAGAGCUCUCGCGUGUAAAAAUUCCUCAAAAAUUGUGAAAAAGACUUUAAAAAUAUAAAAAACUAUUAAAAUAAGUGAAUUAGUGAAAGACGUGAUACAUGCAAUUAGUGGUGAGUCUACAUUUUUAUUACAAUUUUUAUAAAUAAUUAAGUUUUUAAUCUUUGUGUUUGUAUAAUUUAUUAUACACAUAAUUUGUUAUUUUUGCAAUCGGAGGUUAGAGAUAUCUCAUAUGACUUACGUAUAACGUGUCAUAAGACAUGUUAAUAAGUAUGUUUUAUGGAUUUUAUCAAUUUUAUGCAAAAAUUUAUGUUUUAGAGAUGAAAUUCUAUUUUCUUGACCUUUAUAUAAGACUUUUUGAUGCAUUUAUAUAGUUUUUCUCCUUUUUCUGAAAGAAAAUUUGGAAAAAUAAAAAUUAUGUGCAAAAUUGGUGUUUCCGCAAAAUUUCGGCACGGCGCUAGUGUUUGUGAAAAAAAAGUGCAAAAAAGGUGAAACGCUGAUGCUGUGAAGGCCCUAUGGAUAUGAUGUGCGCGGCCGUAAAAUAUUAAAACAAAAAAAAAUCACAAUUUUUUGUGGAAAUUGGCAAUGUAAGUAUGUUUUUCUUUUAUUAUCUUGUAUAUAAUAAGAUGAUUGUGUGAUGGAAGAUAAACUGAUAAGAGAAGAAGCCAGAAUCGACCACUGAUGCCAGUUGUGAAGGAAGCAACAACGGUGAAGGUGCAAACAGGUGUCUUUCACUGUGUUAUCACGAGAAUGGCAACGACAAUUGAAGAAAACCGCCAGGAAGACAAUUUUCUAUACCAUCGUGUGAGGGAUGUCAACAUUCGAUGUGACCUUGUGGAACAGAACUUCGGCAUGACAAAGUUGCAGGACAUCUAGAGGAAGGAGCAACGCGGUGGUAUUAAAGAUGCCAUUGCAGGGCUGCGGGAACUCAAGGAGGAUGACAAGAAGGAAUUAACGGAUCUCCUUGAUUGUCAUUUCUGAUCCGGAGAAGCAGCCAAUUAAGUCAGUGUCCCGGAAGACAAACAAGAGACGCUUCCAGAGCAGAUAAACUUUGAGGAUUUCACGGUGAUGCGUAAUGCCGUACUUGAAUCUCAAUCCGACAGUAAGGUGAAAAGGGAAGGUCAAGAGCAGAAGCCGGAGCAACAGAAGCAGCAAGUUGAGGAAGGUGGUGAACCCAAUAAGGUGGAGAAAGCUGCUCAGGAGACAGUUGAAACGCCUUCGAUGCCUGAGACGCAGGAAGAGAAGAAGCCAGAAUCGACCACUGAUGCCAGUUGUGAAGGAAGCAACAACGGUGAAGGUGCAAACAGGUGUCUUUCACUGUGUUAUCACGAGAAUGGCAACGACAAUUGAAGAGAACCGCCAGGAAGACAAUUUUCUAUACCAUCGUGUGAGGGAUGUCAACAUUCAAAAGCUGCCCAGGUGCUUCCAUGUUUGUCUUCAAGUUACCAAAUGGUGAGAAUAUUCUUCACACAGGAGAUUUUCGGGCUGGAAAUGUUUCCAAUUCUACCUCGAUACAACGUAAGUUAAAAGAACUUUAAUUAUUAUUAUUAUUUUAAAUGCAACCCAUCCAAAAA